ACAGCAAAGGAAACAACAAAGCAAAGUGAAAAGACAACUCACAGAAUGGGAUAAAAUAUUUGCAGAACUACCCAUCUGACAAGGAACUAAGGAGAAUAUAUAAGAAACUCAAACAACUCUAUAGGAAAAAAAAUCUAAUCAAUUAAAAAUAGGCAAAAGAUCCGAAUAGACAUUUCUCAAAAGAAGACAUGCAGGCUGGGCACGGUGGGUCAAUCUCCACUGCCUAGCAGUGUGUCUGACAUGUAGUAGAUGCUCACGUUUGACAAAGAAAUGGGCAAAAAUGUCAGAUCCAAGGGUCCUAUGUAGAACUGACAGAUCUUGGUGACGGGCAGUUAGGGAAGGUAAAAGGGAGAGAAUAGAGUUGGAUACUCGGUCCUUUGUGCAUCAAGCCUUCAGCA
rnacentral:lncRNA from 1 species